rnacentral:lncRNA from 1 species
GCAGACAAAGAUAUACACUUUUACCGGACUAACAUCAAUGGAAAAAUCCAUGUGUACUUUAUAUUGAGUUUCAAGAUGAUGCGUUUUUUGCAGACAAAGAUAUACACUUUUACCGGACUAACAUCAAUGGAAAAAUCCAUGUGUACUUUAUAUUGAGUUUCAAGAUGAUGCGUUUUUUGCAGACAAAGAUAUACACUUUUACCGGACUAACAUCAAUGGAAAAAUCCAUGUGUACUUUAUAUUGAGUUUCAAGAUGAUGCGUUUUUUGCAGACAAAGAUAUACACUUUUACCGGACUAACAUCAAUGGAAAAAUCCGUGAGCUCCGUUCAUUACAGUUAAAGUCUUCUUUGAUCGUCCAAAUUAAAUUUGAAUGAUGUGUUCUUUAUAUUGAGUUUCAAGAUGAUGCGUUUUUUGCGGAAAGAUAUACACUUUUACCGGACUAACAUCAAUGGAAAAAUCCAUGUGUACUUUAUAUUGAGUUUCAAGAUGAUGCGUUUUUUGCAGACAAAGAUAUACACUUUUACCGGACUAACAUCAAUGGAAAAAUCCAUGUGUACUUUAUAUUGAGUUUAAGGAUGAUGCGUUUUUUGCGGAAAGAUUUACACUUUAACCGGACUAACAUCAAUGGAAAAAUCCGUGAGCUCCGUUCAUUACAGUUAAAGUCUUCUUUGAUCGUCCAAAUUAAAUUUGAAUGAUGUGUACUUUAUAUUGAGUUUCAAGAUGAUGCGUUUUUUGCAGACAAAGAUAUACACUUUUACCGGACUAACAUCAAUGGAAAAAUCCGUGAGCUCCGUUCAUUACAGUUAAAGUCUUCUUUGAUCGUCCAAAUUAAAUUUGAAUGAUGUGUACUUUAUAUUGAGUUUCAAGAUGAUGCGUUUUUUGCAGACAAAGAUAUACACUUUUACCGGACUAACAUCAAUGGAAAAAUCCGUGAGCUCCGUUCAUUACAGUUAAAGUCUUCUUUGAUCGUCCGAUUUAAAUUUGAAUGAUGUGUACUUUAUAUUGAGUUUCAAGAUGAUGCGUUUUUUGCAGACAAAGAUAUACACUUUUACCGGACUAACAUCAAUGGAAAAAUCCGUGAGCUCCUUUCAUUACAGUUAAAGUCUUCUUUGAUCGUCCAAAUUAAAUU